UGUGGGUGUGUGGAAAGAGCACCUCAGGUCUCUUCUCAUUUCCAGCAUACAAUACAGUGUGAUUCACUGUCGUCCUCAUGUUGUACGUUAGGUCUCUAGACUUACUCGUCUUAUGUAACUGCAGCUUCGUACCUUUUGACCUGCAUCUCGCCCUCCUCCACCCCCUGCCUCUGGAACCCCGCACUCCUGGGAAAAGGCUUUGAGGAUCUCCCCAUCGGAAGGAAACAGAGGGAUGACAGGAGCAGGGAGUCACCAGAAGGAGGAGACCUGCCAGGCAGCCGUUGUAUACGGAGGGGAUGGGACCCAGCAUGGGGAACAGAAAGGAGGCAGAACUGCUUCUCAGAGUUCUUCCAAAAGAUGUCAGGAAAUCACCCACUGGCUUAUCCUGAGCUGGCUCUAGGGAGCUGGGAUCAUGCUGGAAUGAUGGCAGCUCCAGUUGAAGUUCGUGGUUGGAGCAGAAGGAAUAAUCCCUAGGAGACGGCAGGUCGUCUUCCCAGAAGGCAGUGAGUCGCACAGACAGAAGAGCCAUCUUGAAGUAGAAGUUGUCAUUUCAGUUUGUAGAAUGCAGUCUGAAGCCUCUGUCUACCACAGGGUAUUGGGGGCCCCUCAAAAAUGCCUUUCUGCCCCAUCUUUCA